GGAAGCGUUGUCGAACGGUCUAAGGCUCUGGUUUAAGUCACCAGUCUCCUCGGAGGCGUGGGUUCGAAUCCCAUCGCUGCCG